UUAUUUGGGACAGAGUGUUUUUCAUUUUUAUUGUCUUGUGUUGAAGGUGAUCCACAUUUAAAGAAUCUAUGAGCUCUCUGUGGUGUCAACCUUGGUGCCAGAUCAGAACUAAUUAGUGUGUAUAUAUCUGCGAUUCAAAGGGACUGAUAAUAAUUGUUGGGGUAUUUUCAACUUGAGUUGUUUAUUGAAACUGAAUUGCAGGGUUGCAAACUAGUCACCUUUAGACGAAAUUCAUAAUUUUGAAUCCAAAAUAAGUAACCUAGGUAAUUUGUGUAGAUCCGACGAGAACUUUUGGGGGGCUUUGGAUCACUACUGACCGUAAGGGGACGAGUGAUGCGCGUUUGGAGCAAUACUGGCUGUAUCCAAGGCUCAGCCAAUCAUUCACAUAACAACAGAAUAUGGGGGGUGAUAAGGGACAUAUAUAAGCCUAGGCAACCGUACCACCUGACAUGAUACCAAUGCCUUUACUAACGUCUGCGUGACGCCUGCCUCGCGUGUUAAUGAAAGUCAUAAUGUGCAUAGUUUAUAUGAAUUAAAUCUCAACCAUAAGUGUUAGAAACGUACAGUUUUUCCCAUGCAAGCAGACAUUCCGACGCCACCUUGAGCUAUAGUGUAGUUAUAGUAUAGUUUUCCCUCAGCACCUCAUGGCAUGGUAUGUUAUCUCACUGUAUACAGAUCUAAAUGCUGUUAGCCAAUCACAGACUGUGUUCCACAUCAGACAAUCAAUAAGAGUUGUGUCCAUGGCUUUCAGAGGAGUUCAUAGUUUCUAUUUGGGAUCCUUGGGAUGUCCUGCUGUUAGGGAUCCUUGGGAUGUCUCUUCCGUCGAAUAGAGCAGUUCAUAGACUUUCCCAGAGGGUCCGUGCUAUUCGGGGUCUUUGGGAUGUCCACAACGCUAUCAAGUAUAAAUGUAUAAAAUGGUUAGGCUUAGUGUUAGUUUAGGGUAAGGACGUCCCAAGGAAUAUGGAUUGCAGUGACCGUUCAUAGAGUUAGAGACUGGCACGGUAUUUGAGAGCUCCGUGGCGACACAGACGUUCAUUAAAAAAAAUAUAUGUUUUAACUUGCGGCAGAAGCAAUUUUCGAGUGUCUGCCCCAGAUAGUUUCCUUUUUUCGAGACGGUGAAAAGAAUUACCAAGAUGGCCUUGAUCCAAUUGAGGAUCAAGAUGUGACGAGCCAGAGCAACCAAUCAGCUUCACUGCAGCUGCUCAACCCACCACCCUCACUGUUUUCCCUCCACAAGUAACCACAUCCUCUUCUCCUGUUCAACUACUUUGCCACCACACCAAAAAUGACUGUACAUAUACCCCUGUGCCAUCUCAGUGGAAGAUGAUCCACCCAAGGCCUCAGCUGAAUGCCUUUAAUGUGAGAAAUAUAAUCAAGAUUCCAUAGUGUGUGUGUGUGUGUGUGUGUGUGUGUGUGUGUGUGUGUGUGUGUGUGUGUGUGUGUGUGUGUGUGUGUGUGUGUGUGUGUGUGUGUGUGUGUGUGUGUGUGUGUGUGUGUGUGUGUGUAGUUCCAAGUAAAGACUUGAGAAGAGGGCAAAAGGAGAUAGUGAGAGCAUACAGUAUGAAAAUAAAGACCCCUUGGGAUCUAAAAUAAGUUGUGGGGUGCCUCUUGUCUCCAUUAAUGUCCGUUUGAGGAUACUACGGUCACCCCUGUUGGAUGUUCUUGGAACACUGCAGUUUAAGUCUGAGCAGAGGUUGACGAAAACCUUCAAAGGUGGUGGUGCUAUGUUGCAUGUUAUAUUGAGUACCAGGCAGAUGUUUGAGUACAGAAUCAAAUGGUGUAAACUUAACAGGCUAAACUCGUUGAGGACACUCUUUGAGAAAGGAGUUCCGACAGGGUUCUUUGGCUGUCACCAAAAGAUAACUUUUUGGUUCCAUGUAGAACCCUCUGUGGAAUGGAGCCCAAAAGGGUUCCACCUAGACACAGAAGGGGUUCUACCUGGAACCAAAAAGGGGUCUCCUAUGGGGACAGCGGAAGAAUCCUGUUAGUUUGUAGAAAGCACCUUUUUAUCUGAGUGUAGGCCUAUAUUUCAGUCGUGGUUCCAUGGAUAUCCGUGAAAAAUAACCUUCAUUGGUAGUGAGUUAAUCAUUAAUACUAUGAAACCUUCCCAUUUAGAACACAUUUGCAAGCAGACAAAGUAACCUAUCCUAUGCUGAGGCAUAUGUGAUCACUCAACAUUGACAGGACCAACAUAAAACAUAUGCUUGGGACUCCUGAGUGGCGCAGCGGUCUAAGGCACUUACAUCCCAGUGGCAUCACUACAGACCCUAGUUGGUUUCCAGGGUGUAUCACAACCGGCUGGGUGACCGGGUGUCCCAUAGGGCGGCACAUAAUUGGCCCAGUGUCAUCUAGGUUAGGGUUUGGCCGGGGUAGGUCGUCAUUGUAAACAAGGAUUUGUUCUUAACUGGCGUGCGUAGUUAAAUAAAGGUUCAAUAAAACAACAUAUAAAAACAUGCAAACAAAAGAUGACGUGUCUAUCUUGCACCGUUAUGCAAUUAUUAGGAGACGAGAUACGUUGCUACAUUGCCCCCCCCCCCCCAUUUGUUUUGUACAAUGCUGCUACUCGCUGUUUAUUAUCUAUAUCUAUGCAUAGUCACUUCACCCCUAUCUACAUGUACAAAUGACCUCAACUAACCUGUACCCCUGCACAAUGACUCGCUAACCUGUACCCCCUGUAUAUAGCAUCGUUAUUGUUAUGUUAGUUUAAAAAAUAUAUAUAUUUUUUUUAAUUUUUACUUUAUUUUGUAAAUAUUCUCUUUAUCUUCUUGAACUGCACUGUUGGUUAAGGGCUUGUAAAGUAAGCAUUUUACGGAAAAGUCUAGACUUGUUGUAUUCGGCGCAUGUGACAAAGUUUGAUUUGAAAUAGAUAAUCCUGGCUACCAAUGUUCAAGUAUUAAUUUAUUGAGGCAUUCAAUCAGAGAUGUCAAGGUGGUCCUCAAGCAUAUGCCAUGUGUAUGUAACACACACAUGUAUGGUCAUAUUUUUAGUUUUGUAUAUUUUGCCUCCGAGGUAUUUGCAUUUAACGUAUGUAUAUAAUUACUGCCGCUAGGGGGAGCUGUAUCAUCAAUGAAGUUUUUUUUUAAGCGUUUAAACAAAUAUAUAUUAACAGUAACAUGCAAAACAACAGCCAGAGGUAUUCCACAAAGAAAUGUUUAAAAAAUCAAAACUAAUCCACAUUAUAUCAAUUCAAAUACAGACAUGUAGCGAAUACAUUUUUUAAAACAUUUUGUUUUGUAUACGUUUUAAUGACUCUAAAAAAUUAAGAAAAGGGCCUUUUUCUUCAUAAAUUUUUAUUUGUGUGUGAUGUUUUUUUUCCCAAUAAAAUAAAGAGAUUCAUGACAUA